GUACACUCCUGCGGGAGGCAGCAGUGGGGAAUUUUGGACAAUGGGCGAAAGCCUGAUCCAGCAAUGCCGCGUGAGUGAAGAAGGCCUUCGGGUUGUAAAGCUCUUUUGUCAGGGAAGAAACGGUGAAAGCUAAUAUCUUUUGCUAAUGACGGUACCUGAAGAAUAAGCACCGGCUAACUACGUGCCAGCAGCCGCGGUAAUACGUAGGGUGCAAGCGUUAAUCGGAAUUACUGGGCGUAAAGCGUGCGCAGGCGGUUUUGUAAGUCUGAUGUGAAAUCCCCGGGCUCAACCUGGGAAUUGCGUUGGAGACUGCAAGGCUAGAAUCUGGCAGAGGGGGGUAGAAUUCCACGUGUAGCAGUGAAAUGCGUAGAUAUGUGGAGGAACACCGAUGGCGAAGGCAGCCCCCUGGGUCAAGAUUGACGCUCAUGCACGAAAGCGUGGGGAGCAAACAGGAUUAGAAACCCUUGUAGUCCCAUGAU
rnacentral:rRNA from 1 species